GUUCGAAUAGUUUAAGUAAAAUGUUGGUUUGUGGAGCCUAAGAUGUAAAUUGGUUACUUCGGACA
rnacentral:tRNA from 1 species